CAUUAGUUGCUGUUUGUAAUCCAAGUCGUGUUUAUUUGUUUGUGAUGAUUUUGGUCAUAGAAACAGUAAAACAGAGGCUCUGCUACCAUUCCUUUCUUAAAUCUGUAUUUAAAACCUAUGUAUAUCUUCACAGAUGAGGAUGAAGCUCAGUUACAAAAAGUAUUGCGCCGUUUACGUGUUACACAAUCUCCAACAAAAAGAAGAUGAAAUGAUGCUGCCAACAGUCCUUUGAAAGCCCAAAUGGGAAUUCCAGUGAUAAUUAAGCUAUGGAAAAUGGUACCUUGUUAUGAAAAUGCUGUUCUACAAAAAAAAAAAAAAAAGAGAGAGAGAGAGAAGAACCAACUCUUGAAGCAUCAUAUGUGAAAGAGGAUAAUCUUUCAUCUCCUGAAAUAUGACACAAUACUUCUAAUUUAAAUGACAAUUAUUAAAAUUAACUUGUGAAACCUUUAAGGAAAAGCUCUUACUUAGCUGGCAUAUUUUGGAGAAAAUCCUUGGUUAAUAAUGUAUCUUUUAAUGAAUUUAAAAAAAUGUAAAGUUGCAGACAUUAAAGAUUUACAGGUUUG
rnacentral:lncRNA from 1 species